AAUUUGCUUAAGUGAAACACUUGUUAUAUCUUCAUUCUAGUAACAUUCUAGUUUUUGUAGAAGGGCCUGAUCCCUCUCUCUGACCCAUUUAACUCUGUCUCCUAAACACAGUCUAAUUCAGUUCCUUUUGUAUGACAUAAAAAUCAGAAUAAGAAGUACCUGACAUACUUUCUACAUCUGUAGUUGCGGAAGACAUUUUAA
rnacentral:lncRNA from 1 species